GCACAGGUUCCCGGGGCGCUCCCCGCGGAUGGACCGCGGCGACCUCAUCCGCAGUCCCGCCGCGCGGCAGAUCGUGUCCAACUACUUCAGCAUGUUCGGGCCGGUGCAGGACGUGUGCAUCCCGUACCAGCAGAAGCGCAUGUUCGGCUUCGUCACCUUCGUGUACGCCGAGACGGUGAAGGCCAUCCUGAGCAAGGGCAACCCGCACUUCGUGUGCGACGCGCGCGUGCUCGUCAAGCCCUACAAGGAGAAGGGCAAGGUCCCCGG